rnacentral:rRNA from 1 species
AGAUUGAACGCUGGCGGCAGGCUUAACACAUGCAAGUCGAGCGGGGAAAUGUAGCUUGCUACAUUACCUAGCGGCGGACGGGUGAGUAAUGCUUAGGAAUCUGCCUAUUAGUGGGGGACAACAUUUCGAAAGGAAUGCUAAAUACCGCAUACGCCCUACGGGGGAAAGCAGGGGAUCUUCGGACCUUGCGCUAAUAGAUGAGCCUAAGUCGGAUUAGCUAGUUGGUGGGGUAAAGCCUACGAAGGCGACGAUCUGUAGCGGGUCUGAGAGGAUGACUCCGCCACACGUGGGACUGAGACACGGCCCAGACUCCUACGGGAGCAGCAGUGGGAAUAGUGACAAGUCGGGGGAACCUGA